AACGCUAGCUACAGGCUUAACACAUGCAAGUCGAGGGGCAGCGCAGUGUAGCAAUACAUGGGCGGCGACCGGCGCACGGGUGCGUAACGCGUAUCCAACCUUCCCGUUACUCUUGGAUAGCCUUCCGAAAGGGAGAUUAAUACAGGAUGGUAUUCAAAAGUCACAUGUCAUUUGAAUUAAAGAUUUAUCGGUAACGGAUGGGGAUGCGUACCAUUAGCUUGUUGGCGGGGUAACGGCCCACCAAGGCAACGAUGGUUAGGGGUUCUGAGAGGAAGGUCCCCCACACUGGAACUGAGACACGGUCCAGACUCCUACGGGAGGCAGCAGUGAGGAAUAUUGGUCAAUGGCCGGAAGGCUGAACCAGCCAAGUAGCGUGAAGGAUGAAGGUUCUAUGGAUUGUAAACUUCUUUUAUACGGGAAUAAAGCCCGCUACGUGUAGCGGUUUGUAUGUACCGUAUGAAUAAGCAUCGGCUAACUCCGUGCCAGCAGCCGCGGUAAUACGGAGGAUGCGAGCGUUAUCCGGAUUUAUUGGGUUUAAAGGGAGCGUAGACGGGAUGUUAAGUCAGUUGUGAAAGGCUGCGGCUCAACCGCAGCACUGCAGUUGAUACUGGUUACCUUGAGUGCGUACGAGGUACGUGGAAUUCGUGGUGUAGCGGUGAAAUGCUUAGAUAUCACGAAGAACCCCGAUUGCGAAGGCAGCGUACCAGUCCGUAACUGACGUUGAUGCUCGAAAGUGUGGGUAUCAAACAGGAUUAGAUACCCUGGUAGUCCACACGGUAAACGAUGGACACUCGCUGUUGGCGAUAUACUGUCAGCGGCCAAGCGAAAGCGUUAAGUGUCCCACCUGGGGAGUACGCCGGCAACGGUGAAACUCAAAGGAAUUGACGGGGGCCCGCACAAGCGGAGGAACAUGUGGUUUAAUUCGAUGAUACGCGAGGAACCUUACCCGGGCUUAAAUUACAGAGGACAGAUCCAGAGACGGAUCCUUCUUCGGACCUCUGUGAAGGUGCUGCAUGGUUGUCGUCAGCUCGUGCCGUGAGGUGUCGGCUUAAGUGC
rnacentral:rRNA from 1 species